AUUGAACGCUGGCGGAAUGCUUUACACAUGCAAGUCGAACGGCAGCACGGGGGCAACCCUGGUGGCGAGUGGCGAACGGGUGAGUAAUACAUCGGAACGUGCCCAGUCGUGGGGGAUAACGUAGCGAAAGUUACGCUAAUACCGCAUACGAUCUACGGAUGAAAGCGGGGGACCGUAAGGCCUCGCGCGAUUGGAGCGGCCGAUGUCAGAUUAGGUAGUUGGUGAGGUAAAGGCGCACCAAGCCGACGACCUGUAGCUGGUCUGAGAGGACGACCAGCCACACUGGGACUGAGACACGGCCCAGACUCCUACGGGAGGCAGCAGUGGGGAAUUUUGGACAAUGGGCGCAAGCCUGAUCCAGCCAUUCCGCGUGCAGGACGAAGGCCUUCGGGUUGUAAACUGCUUUUGUACGGAACGAAAAGGCUCUGGUUAAUACCUGGGGCUCAUGACGGUACCGUAAGAAUAAGCACCGGCUAACUACGUGCCAGCAGCCGCCGUAA
rnacentral:rRNA from 1 species